CCUCAACUGGUCUGAGAACUCCUGCUCUGCCUCCUUUUUACCCACAUUUUUGGUAACUCUGGGGCGAGGGUUGCCUAAUGGACUACUGCAAUACUGCCUAUGUGGGGGAGUUGUUUUAGGAGGAAUAUGACCUCCAGGGACUGGAAUUCACUGGAACAUUCAAUGUGCCAUCACCACAAGGAGGUGAAGGCCAUUUCUGGGUCAGAGAAGAGACAGGAAAACAAGGCUGUCUGCCAGUUUCAGAUGUCCUGACUUCUUGCCUGGAUGGAAACACGCUGAGUUGGAAUGAGAUAAUGCUGGGGUAUCUUUCCCCUGAAACCGGGAGGGAAAUGUGACUAGGUAUGCGGGGGUCAGACUCCCACCCCAGCGAUUCACCCAGAGCCACAGAGAGGCUUAGCCGACCUCUGCUCUCCCCUUCCUCAUCAGGGAGACAAAGUUCCCAGGGCAGCCCGAGCCAGAACUAGCUGUUUCAGUAGCUGCAAUGUGGCAUUCAGCUCCUCUAGAAGGCUGCUGGAACCAAGUCCACUGCUUGGUCCCUAGGAAGGGGUUCUGGAAUUAUCUGGCUUUUUUUUUUUUUUUUUUUAAUCUCCCCUGAAGCCCUUUGACAAAGCAAAAAGGAAAGUAGUCAACGCAGCAAAUGUCCAACAGCCUUCCAGACAGUCCGGAUCUAUCCAUCGCAGCCUGGGCCGGUUCAUUACACACUGUGAGGAGACCGGUCCCGGGUCCCUAAGCAGGUUGAUGCUGGCCCGUAGGCAGGAGUGUUCAUGAAGGACACAGAGCAUGAGGAGCUGAGCUGGACUGAGUACAUCAGUGUCCUGGAGACUGCCAGAGAAGACAAAUCCUUUCCUCACGACCACCGAGGCCACGCAUCGGGGGAAAUGCCUCUGAGGACCUCAAGGAUACACAUAAUUGGCCUGGACUUUCGGCAGCUAACUUGGGACCAUGAGAUGGCACUAUUGGGGAUGAGACGUGAACAGCUAAGAGCAACAAAGCAAAGAAUUAGCGAAGAAGAAGCAACGCAAAGAAGAGCCAGGAUUCUGCACGGCACGUCUCGGUCUGGACUCCCGACUCUAUGCUUCUCUUAUGGGAAUAAAUGAAUUGCUUGAUGCUGCUAGUAGUAGUUGGGCAUUCUGCCGUUCGUGACCAAAAGCCUUCCCAUUUGAUAGAAAACAGCCAGUUCACAUCAACCCAGCACCCCUGUCUCCUCCAUGGGUGCCUGCUCAACCCUCACACCGACUGCUGCAGGCUGCACCCCAGAAAAGCCCCAUUCUGACAAGCGUGGCCAUCAGUCUGCUCUGCAGGGGUGGCCCCCAGCAUGCCACGUAUGCCGCGUUGUCCUCUGCUAGGCUCUGGUGCAACCUUCAGAGCAAGAGGGCGUAUAAAUAAAAGGCCUUAUGUUUUAUAUGCUAGUCAAUAUUUAUUCAACCCCACCAGAGCAGUGGACUGGAAGGAACAGAGAGACUAUAAAAUGUCUUCUGUACUGAAGCUUGAAAUCGUGCUGGAGGAAAGGGGCUUCUCCGUGCUCUCACUGCAAAAUAGUCUUCCGCCCAGCAGAGCUUGGGAGCCCGUGGGAAGCAGAGCGGCUGGGGCAAUCUGGUGAAUGAGGACAGAGACAGCCCAGGGCUGCAGACACAUGGCAACAGCCAUACUCUCCUUGCAGCUCCAACCUGCCUCUUGAGUGGCUUAUCUCAAAUGCAGAAGGUCCUGUGUCCCCAGGGAUGGCUCUUCUCUCCUUGCUUAGAGGAUCUCACGGGAGAGCCCACACUUUUAAGGGCUGCAAUUGAGGGAUCUUUCUAAAGCCCUUUGGGGGUGUUUGUGUAUCUGAUGGACGGCACUCCACCCACCCACUCCCAACAUCUUGAGUCCCUGCUUAUCCUUGCUUUUCCCUGAUGCUGUGUUUUG
ensembl:lincRNA